CGGGUUUGCUUUGAUGUUAGA
rnacentral:piRNA from 1 species